GAUCAUGGCUCAGGAUGAACGCUGGCGGCGUGCUUAACACAUGCAAGUCGAACGGGAAACCUUUUAUUGAAGCUUCGGCAGAUUUAAAUUGUUUCUAGUGGCGGACGGGUGAGUAACGCGUGGGUAACCUGCCCUAUACAGGGGGAUAACAACCAGAAAUGGUUGCUAAUACCGCAUAAGCGCACAGGACCGCAUGGUCCGGUGUGAAAAACUCCAGUGGUAUAGGAUGGACCCGCGUUGGAUUAGCCAGUUGG
rnacentral:rRNA from 1 species